rnacentral:rRNA from 1 species
CCCUUAGAUGUUCUGGGCUGCACGCGCGCUACACUGAUGCGCUCAACGAGUUUACGAACUUGCCCGGAAGGGUUGGUUAAUCUUUUUAAAACGCAUCGUGAUGGGGAUAGAUUAUUGCAAUUAUUAAUCUUCAACGAGGAAUUCCUAGUAAGCGCGAGUCAUCAGCUCGCACUGAUUACGUCCCUGCCCUUUGUACACACCGCCCGUCGCUACUACCGAUUGAACGUUUUAGUGAGGUACUCGGACUGAGCCUCAGAAGAUUCACGUCUUUUGUGCUGCUCGGGAAGAUUCCCAAACUUGAGCGUUUAGAGGAAGUAAAAGUCGUAACA